rnacentral:lncRNA from 1 species
CAUAAUACAUGUGCCAUAGCUUAGUAUUUUUUUGAUUAGCAAGGCAAUAGUAGUAGGUAGUUUAAAUUAAAGACAGUUUCUAUGGAUAAAUAUCUCCGUUUCUCUGUGAAUAUUCAGUAUGCACACAUGAGUAACAACCUUUCCUAUGAAUUAAUCUAGUUACACUUUAGGCACAGCAUUAUUUCUUUGCAGCUACCAUAAUUUACACUACACUAGGAAAUAUGACAAUAUAAAUGUCUUACAUAUGAAAAGACACUCACAGUGGGUGGAGUCAAUGUGAACAAAUUGUGAAUGACAUAGUUUUUAAGCUCCUACUCAUUUCCCACUGGGACUAUAAGAAAUCAUAUUUUAUUUGGGAAGAAAUUCUACUUAUACAAUUUAUUUAUAUAGAAACUUUCAAUGUGCAUCUUUGUUAUGCGCAUAUUCUGAGCCACUUCCUGGAUAUUCCUUGUCCCUCUGCUCUAUGCCAAGUUUGGGUUCUCUUUGUUAAUCUCAGCUUAAUAGUUCCAUCGAACACACAUUUUGUCUCUGUUUCCUUUCCCAGGAAUGGCUUGAGUUCUGUUUCUCCAAGUUCUUCUCACAAGGCAUACUUGUCCUUUUUAUAGUUUGUCAUUAAAAUGGCUUAAUACUUUUCAUAAGAGCAGGGAUUCACUGACUCAUAUCUCUAAAUACAAAUAGGAAGUUUUAAGUUGUCUGUACAUAUGUCCUGGCUCUUCAGAUUCCCAUUCCUGAUAACAGGUCCGACAAUGUCCAACUGCAGACAACUCUUUCACAGGCAUCGAGGUGGAAUUCUGUUCCAGAAGCACAAGGGUAAUAAACCGCUCUCCUGUUCUAAGACAAUAAGAAAACACUUGGUGCAUUUUGCUUUCACAGGUCUCAACACAGCAGGAAUACUGAUUAAUUAUAUCCCUUUGUUAAGAAUUUUAUUUCUGAUGAGAGUGUCAGUCAAAUGCUAGUGGCCUAAACUGUCAGUUACAAAGUCGAAACUCUGCCUUACUCCCAGAAUGACCUUGUGGGUGAGUUAAAUGGCGGAAGAUGUAAGGUCUGGGAGGACGGUCCCUCCCUUGCUGGCCAGUUCUUACCAAGCCUUACUGCUUUUGUUUCAGACUGUGUAGAUUUUCAUUGUCAGUAUCAGGUUGCUUCCAUAGUGAAAGCAGAUUAUGUUGCUUGAAGCACACUCCUGUAGAGCAAUACUGUUCUUCAACAUCAGCGCUGGGAUCUGCUCACUCUUCUGCCGAACAGAAAGGUGGAAAGUGGUGUGUCACAGAAUAACUAAGAAUUUGUCGGAACAUGACGCAUACAGAGUCUCUCUAAUCAGUUCUGUGGACAAUGGUUCCUUUGGCUUUAUGACAGUUUUUCUUUUGUUUGUUUUUGAGAUCGUUUUUCAAUCCUCUUUGUCUCUUCCCUUUGCUUCCUUCAAACCCUCCCAAGUAUCCUUCUCUGUACACUCUGAAAUUCACUGCCUCUUUCUCUCAUUAAUGUAAUAUUGUAUUUGUAUAUACAUAUAUUCAUAAGAAAACAUAUUGAGUCCAUAUAAGGUUACCUAUAUGUUUACAGGGGCAAUCACUUUUAAUGGAUAAUAAUUAAGUGUGCUCUACCCAUGAGAGGGCCUCCUGUUCUGUCUCCAACUUUACUCAGUUGCCUGUAGUUCUUUGUGUAGCAUUCAGGCCUCCUGGGAUUUUUCUCAUUCAGUUUUCCAUGUUCAUUGAUAACUUCUUAUUUAGUUCACAUUUAGGCAGUAAAUAUCAAUAAAACUUGCCAGAACUAUUUAAAUAUUAAUAUCAAGAAUUGAGUUUAGGCUGGGCAUGGUGGCUCACGCCUUUAAUCCCAGCACUUGGGAGGCAGAGGCAGGCAGAUCUCUGAGUUUGAGGCCAGCCUGGUCUACAGAGUGAGUUCCAGGACAGCCAGGACUGCACAGAGAAACCCUGUCUCGGGAAAACAAAACAAAACAAAACAAAACAAAACAAAACAAAACAAAACAAAAAAGAAUUGAGUUUAGACUCAAAUUGUCUUGUUAGAGAGUCAAAAUACACUUGUACAAACUGCAAACGUGAAUAGCUACAAUUAUUAAAUGGUUGCUAGUUAUUGUUCAGCAUCUGCAACAGGAGAACCGAUGCGCAUUGUUAACAUUUACAAAGUUUAGUUUAAUAGAAAAUCAUGUAUUUUUCUUUUCUCAAAUUUAUUUUAUUUAUUUAAAGUGAGAUGAUUUAUUGCAUGUAAGUUCUGAUUUAACUCUACAUUGCAUUGAAGAGCUUAUUACUCUCAAUAGAGUUCAUAAGGUCACUGAAAUCUCAUUGUCACAUAUAAAAUAUUUGCAUACCAAACAUUGAUCUGAAAUAUGUAUCUUAGAUAAGCUUGAAACCAUUAUACAGAAUUCAUUAAUGUUUGAGGAAAAUAUCAUAGUCAUUAAAUUCUAUUUGUGAAGAGUAAACCUUCUUUUAUAAGUUUAGGGAGUUUACUGAUGUAUCCCAUUGCCACCUAGCCCAUCAUGUAAGAAAAGUUCCUACUAGCAAAGAUCUGCACUGCUAACAUUUUAUAAUUACUGAGAUGACUAAUGUUUUCCUUUCUUUUUUCUGAAAAAUAAAUGCCUAUAUCAAAAAUGUUGCUAAGAUACUUAUUUUACAGGAAAUAUUUGAUAUAGAUAUAUUUCUAGAAAUUAUUUAUCAUGUACAAAGUGGUGAAAAAGUGAUAUUUUUCUUUAAAAAGAUUUACUGCAGUGGUAAAAAUACUUGAUUCCCAAACAUUCAUAUAUUAUAACAGGGUACACCCCUGCUACAUAGCAUGGCCAUUUCUUGACUAGAAAAAUAUAGAUGGCUUCUUUGGCCAGGAGCUGUGACUGGUCUGAACCUUCAAGGAAGAUAACAAAUUUAUGUGCUUUCACAAGUGACAGAAUUCUCAGAUUGACAGAGCAGCUGCUUAUGCAAGGAGUGGGGAAGGUAAUUUGGGACUGCUAGCUUAAGGGACUUGGCAAGGACUUGAGUUACAUCCUUUGGGAUAUGUGAGCUCUCACUGGUCAGCGAGUCACAGUGGAGUUUCCAAAGAGGAUUAAAGGUCAGAUGGCAGUACCGACCAGCGUUUGCAGGAAUUCCAAUUCUGAUGCUGUGUCAUAACAGUGAACUGAAUACUAGCCAUUCUGAAUUUAGUAUACUGAAUACUAAAGUUCCCCAUUUACUAAAAUGUCUACGAUUGAAGGUAUUUAAUGCUACAUCCUCAAGUUUAUGCUUCAAAGAGUAAUAAGGAAUAAAAGGAGUAAUAAGACC